AGCGAACGCUGGCGGCAGGCUUAACACAUGCAAGUCGAGCGGGCCCUUCGGGGUCAGCGGCGGACGGGUGAGUAACGCGUGGGAACGUGCCUUCUGGUCUGGAAUAACCCUGGGAAACUAGGGCUAAUACCGGAUACGCCCUUUUGGGGAAAGGUUUACUGCCGGAAGAUCGGCCCGCGUCUGAUUAGCUAGUUGGUGGGGUAACGGCCUACCAAGGCGACGAUCAGUAGCUGGUCUGAGAGGAUGAUCAGCCACACUGGGACUGAGACACGGCCCAGGCUCCUACGGGAGGCAGCAGUGGGGAAUAUUGGACAAUGGGCGCAAGCCUGAUCCAGCCAUGCCGCGUGAGUGAUGAAGGCCUUAGGGUUGUAAAGCUCUUUUAUCCGGGACGAUAAUGACGGUACCGGAGGAAUAAGCCCCGGCUAACUUCGU
rnacentral:rRNA from 1 species